AGGUUCAUAUAUUUACCCAUAAAUAAAUCCCUCAACCUCAUGUAUCAUCAACUCCAGGCUCAAGCUGAUGUAUCAUAGACGAUACUAAAUCUUUUGACAAGAAAAAGAAAUCAAGCAAAAUGCACAUGUCAAUCAGACUGAACCCCAAGUAAUCAAUUUAUUCAGAGGCAACAACCAAUGUCUCAAGAAGUAACACAAUACUACAUUUUGAUGUUGAAAACUAAAGCAAUUAGAUUAUUGGAACUAUAAAUAUGUAGUAAAUGUUUUGGUUAUCA
rnacentral:misc_RNA from 1 species